rnacentral:rRNA from 1 species
AUUGAACGCUGGCGGCAGGCCUAACACAUGCAAGUCGAACGAGUGGCGGACGGGUGAGUAAUGUCUGGGAAACUGCCUGAUGGAGGGGGAUAACUACUGGAAACGGUAGCUAAUACCGCAUACCAUCGGAUGUGCCCAGAUGGGAUUCGCUAGUAGGGGGGGUAAAGGCUCACCUUGGCGACGAUCCCUAGCUGGUCUGAGAGGAGGACCAUCCACACUGGAACUGAGACACGGUCCAGACUCAUACGGGAGGCAGCAGUGGGGAAUAUUGCACAAGGGGCGCAAGCCUGAUGCAGCCAUGCCGCGUGUAUUAAGAAGGCCUUCGGGUUUUAAAGUACUUUCAGCUGGGAGGCGUUACCCGCAGAAGAAGCACCGGCUAACUCCGUGCCAGCAGCCGCGGUAAUAC